UACAGAGGUCCCAAGCGUUGUUCGGAUUCAUUGGGCGUAAAGGGUGCGUAGGCGGCGCGGGAAGUCGGGUGUGAAAUCUCGGAGCUUAACUCCGAAACUGCAUUCGAUACUGCCGUGCUUGAGGACUGGAGAGGAGACUGGAAUUUACGGUGUAGCGGUGAAAUGCGCAGAUAUCGGGAGGAACACCAAUGGCGAAGGCAGCUCGCUGGGACGUUACUGACGCUGAGACGCGAAAGCGUGGGGAGCAAACAGG
rnacentral:rRNA from 1 species